ensembl:snRNA U1 U1 spliceosomal RNA
UAAUUUUUUUUUCAAUACUUACCAUGAUCAUGAAGAUGGUUUUCCCAUGGUGAGGCUUAUCCGUUGCACUCCAGAUGUGCUGAACCCUGCAAUUUCCCCAAAUGUGGGAAACUUGACUGUAUAAUUUGUGGUAGUGGAGGACUGAGUUCAUGCUCUCCCCUUAA